rnacentral:piRNA from 5 species
UUUCGUACGUAGCAGAGCAGCUCCC